rnacentral:rRNA from 1 species
GCCUAAAGAAGGUGGUAAGCUCCACCUAAGGCUAAAUAUCACUGUGAGACCGAUAGCAAACAAGUACCGUGAGGGAAAGUUGCAAAGAACUUUGAAGAGAGAGUUCAACAGGACGUGAAACCGUUUGCAGGGAAACAGAUGGACCCACGAAGUCCAGUUGAGUGUGAAAUUCACAUCUCAAGACUGUUUAAAACAUAAUGCACAUCUUCUAUCGAAGGUGUCCUAUGUUUUGUGACUGUCAAGAGAUGCAUUUUUUACAUUCACGAUGGAGCUCUGACUUCUCAUCCAAGCCGAACUGCUUAAGGCAGCUCAUAAAUGUAGUAAGAUUCUUGUAAUCUUCGAUACAUAUGUGAGUGUGCAGUAAGGCUUUACUGAGGGGUUGAAUUUCUCACUUUGUGAGUGAUUCAGUUUGUCGGAGAGUAUAUUUUGAUAGGAAAGAUGCAAGUGACUAUUUUCGACUCUUGUAGUUGAAAUUGUCAGUUGUUCUCUUUCCAAUAUAUCAAAUAUAUUUGCCAAUGAUAAUCCAGAGUAAGUAGGUCGGUCAUCCAUCUGACC